GAUGAAGAACGUAGCGAAAUGCGAUAAGUAAUGCGAAUUGCAGAAUUUCCGUGAGUCAUCGAAUCUUUGAACGCACAUUGCGCCCCCUGGCAUUCCGGGGGGCAUGCCUGUCCGAGCGUCAUUUCUGCCCUCCAGCCCGGCUGGGUGUUGGGCGCUGUCCCCCCGGGGACACGCCCCAAAGGGAGUGGCGGCGCCGCGUCGGGUCCUCGAGCGUAUGGGGCUUUGUCACCCGCUCGGGACGGACUCGUCGGCGCUGGUCUUCCUCCAGGCGACCCUUCGGGGCUCGUCUUCCUUCGGUUGACCUCGGAUCAGGUAGGGUUACCCGCUGAACUUAAGCAUAUCAAUAAGCGGAGA
rnacentral:misc_RNA from 1 species